rnacentral:rRNA from 1 species
AUGGAAACUAGUACUAUUGUUCAGGAUUAUAGAGAAAUCUAUUCGGUGGGAGAUAUGGAUGAGGAAGAGAGAAAUCAGGGAAGGAGUCCCAUCUGUACAAUAAAGGAAAAUAGAGAGAUUAGUGGGAUUUUAUUUUGGAAUCUGCCCAUUUAUGAUCCUUUAAUUUUCGUUAAGUGUACAAUUUUCGUCCUAUUGGUGGCGAUUCUGGAAGAGGGGGUAUACUAUAUCAACUACAGAGGGGUGAGGGGUUUCCUCUUGAGUUUCUUCCUUGUACGAGUUGUAUUAGUGUGUAAGGAAGAGAUGGAGAUGGAUAGGAAGGGGGAGGCGGAGAUGGAGAUGGGUCAGGGAUCGGGGAGUGUGCCGGCGACCAUGGGGAGCGAUUCUCUUGCUCUGGCUACCUCACCUGGGGGCGAGAGGAUGAAGGAGUCCAGGCGGCCCUGUGGGGAUGACUCACCGUUGGUCAUCGAUAUGGAGGACGCCAGGAGGGCUGUGAGGGGUUUCUUGGUGGUAGGGCGACUUCUGUCGCCAUUCCAAGUUCACCCGCAGGUCCUUGUCGAUGACCUUCGUGCUUUGUCGGCUUGGAGGCUGAAAGGCGAGGUCACCGUCUAG